rnacentral:rRNA from 1 species
CCUACGGGAGGCUGCAGUGGGGGAUAUUGCACAAUGGGGGGAACCCUGAUGCAGCGACGCCGCGUGGGUGAAGGAGCGUUUCGGCGCGUAAAGCCCUAUCGGCAGGGAAGAAGAUGACGGUACCUGACCAAGAAGCCCCGGCUAACUACGUGCCAGCAGCCGCGGGAAUACGGAGGGGGCAAGCGUUAUCCGGAUUUACUGGGUGUAAAGGGGGCGCAGACGGCAAUGCAAGUCAGGAGUGAAAGCCCGGGGCCCAACCCCGUGACUGCUCUUGAAACUGCAUGGCUGGAGUACAGGAGGGGCAGGCGGAAUGAGUAGUGGAGCGGUGAAAUGCGUAGAUAUUAGGAGGAACACCGGUGGCGAAGGCGGCCUGCUGGACUGUGACUGACGUUGAGGCCCGAAGGCGUGGGGAGCGAACAGGAUUAGAUACCCGGGUAGUC